GCGAGUGUGAUGUUUAACGGCCUAGCAUCCCUGCCUUCCAAGCAGGUUGAGCCGGUUCGAAUCCGGUCACUCGUU
rnacentral:tRNA from 1 species